rnacentral:rRNA from 1 species
UACGUAGGCAGCGAGCGUUUGUUCGGAGUUACUGGGCGUAAAAGGGCGCGUAGGCGGUCAGCACAAGUCAGUUGUGAAAUCUCCGGGCUUAACUCGGAAAGGUCAACUGAUACUGUGCGACUAGAGUGGCGGAAGGGGCAACUGGAAUUCUCGGUGUAGCGGUGAAAUGCGUAGAUAUCGGUGGGGAACGCCAGUGGCGAAAGCGGCGAAACUUGACCCUU